rnacentral:rRNA from 1 species
CGAACCGUGCGAACGUUGUUCGGAAUCACUGGGCUUAAAGGGCGCGUAGGCGGGCCGGCCGGUCGGAGGUGAAAGCCCCCAGCUCAACUGGGGAAGCGCCCCCGAUACCGCCGGCCUGGAGGGGGUAGGGGCGUGCGGAACUUCCGGUGGAGCGGUGAAAUGCGUAGAUAUCGGAAGGAACACCGGUGGCGAAGGCGGCACGCUGGGCCCGCCCUGACGCUGAGGCGCGGAAGCCAGGGGAGCGAACGGGAUUAGAUACCCCGGUAGUCCUGGCCCUAAACGAUGGGCACUGGGUAGCGGCCCCCCAUGGGGCCGCUGCCGGAGCGAAGGUGUUAAGUGCCCCGCCUGGGGAGUAUGGUCGCAAGGCUG